AUUGAACGCUGGCGGCAGGCUUAACACAUGCAAGUCGAACGAGUGGCGGACGGGUGAGUAAUGCUUGGGAAUCUCGCUUAUGGAGGGGGAUAACUACGGGAAACUGUAGCUAAUACCGCGUACCAUAGGAUGAGCCCAAGUGGGAUUAGGUAGUUGGUGAGGUAAAGGCUCACCAAGCCGACGAUCUCUAGCUGGUCUGAGAGGAUGACCAACCACAAGGGGACUGGGCCACGGCCCCGACCCCUACGGGAGGGAGGAGGGGGGAAUAUUGGCCAAUGGGGGCAAACUGACGCAGCCAUGCCGGGGGAAUGAAGAAGGCCUGCGGGUUGUAAAAUUCUUUCGGGAGAGAGGCGUUAACUACAGAAGAAGCACCGGCUAACUCCGUGCCAGCAGCCGCGGUAAUUC
rnacentral:rRNA from 1 species